rnacentral:rRNA from 1 species
CCAUAAAACUAUUCUCAGUUCGGAUUGUAGGCUGCAACUCGCCUACAUGAAGCCGGAAUCGCUAGUAAUCGUGGAUCAGCAUGCCACGGUGAAUACGUUCCCGGGCCUUGUACACACCGCCCGUCACACCACGAGAGUUUGUAACACCCGAAGUCGGUAGGGUAACCUUUAUGGAGCCAGCCGCCGAAGGUGGGACAGAUAAUUGGGGUGAAGUCGUAACAAGGUAGCCGUAUCGGAAGGUGCGGCUGGAUCACCUCCUUU